GUUUUUAAGGAAUACUACUGAUAGCCUGAAAGACUGUGGAAAAGAAAAAAUUUUCCCCCCUUACCCACUGAUAGUUCUUAUAUUUCCAUUCCUGCAAUUCUUAUAUUUAAAACAUUGGAUUAGCAGCAAGAGAGUUGAAAAUGGCAGAAGUUGGGAAUGACUGCUAUUUCUUUUUUAAUUCCACAUGCAUAAAGGGAUCCCAGUGCCGAUUCCGACACUGUGAAGAGGCCCUUGGCAGUGACACUGUGUGCUUAUUAUGGAGAGAGGGAAAAUGUUUAGAUCCACUUUGCAGAUUUAGACACAUGGAAAUGCAGCAAAACUGCAGCAUUUCAUGCUUCUGGGAAACGCAACCACUUGGUUGUGUGAAGAUCAGUUGUAUCUUUUAUCACAGCAAACCUCGAAAUAUCAAUGGAUUAUUUUUGCCACCAAGUAGCAAUAUCACACCACAGAAAGAAACUCAGGAAGGAAUUCAACCCCCAACCCAGAGUCAGGAACCCCUGAAACCUCAGGAGAAUGUAUCACGACCCAUUCAUCACCCUUUAGUUUUAAAAACUAACUUUGAGGAAGAAGAGGAGGAAAGAGAUGCACAAAAUGAUGCAUCUAGUUUAUGGACAAAGACUCCUGAAGAAAUUGAAGAAAAAAGAGCAAUAAAGGAGAUGUGCUAUAAAUCUGGUGAAUACUACAGAUUUCAUACUCCAGAUACUUCAUCAUCAAAAAGCAUAGCCUCUACAGCAGACAAAGAGUUAGAAAAGCCUUUGGAAAAUGGCAGUGAAUUGCAAGAAGGGGAUGGUCUUACAGUACCAACAAAAUUUAGCCUAUUUGAAAGACAAGGUGAGAGAAAAGCCUCACUGGAUAGGAAACCAAGGACUGACAUUGCUGCUUUUGAAAAUGGAGGAGGUGACUGUUAUGUUCCACAGAGGAUCCUAUUUCUUGGAGUAGAUGAAAAGGAAGCUUUAACUGAAGAGAAAGAAGUUACUGUGUCAAAAUGUUCAAAUACUAAAGAAAACAAGGACAGCCCUCAUCCAAAGCGUUCCCUUACUACCCGACUAGUACCUACAAUGCAUGUUUUAAAUGCUACUGAGAAUAUCAGUGCAGAGAAUAUGAAGUGCAGAGAGGACCUCUCUUCAAUGAAUGAUGUCCAGCCAGUGAAGAAGCCUCACUUUAAAGGUGUGAAAAAAAGAAAAUGGAUUUAUGAUGAACCAAAGAAUAUUCCUGGCUCAGGAAUGCGGAGAGUACAGGCCCCAAAUCCCAAAAAUAAAUUGAGUUACCAUCGCAAUAACAAAAGCAGAAAUGCUGAGAAUGCAUCCUAUAUCCAUGUUCACAGAGAUGCUAUCAGGACUGUCUCACUGAGUGCACCUCCCCGCAGCAGGCCCACAAAUAGGUCCUACAAUAAAGUCGACGUUAACAAGGAACCCAAACUCAACCUUUGUCCAGACAAAUAUAUGUCAACAUCAUAUAAUGGUUCAGCCUGGAGAAAAAGAAUUCCUUUUUCAAAAGCAUAUUCAAAAACUGAGAAGAUAUAUACAGAUACAAGCUUAGCAGUAAAACCAUAUCUUGAUACAAAAUAUCAAGCCCUACUAUAUCCAAACACAAAUAUUAGCUGAUUCAGACUGAUGGGCGCCUAAGAUGAAGCUUCCAGGCCAAGAUGCUCUGAGUGACUGUGGUGUCCCCCUUGUGCUCUGUUUUCUGGAAGAGUACGAGGAUCCUGGGAACCUCCCCAGGAUGGAAGUUUGAAGCAGACCCAACCUCAGAGCCAAGAAGAAAUGGGAGCAAGUAAAUCUGGAGGUUGAGAGAAGAGAAAAAUGAGAAAAGAGAAAAGUGCCAGAUAUCAUCUGAUUUACAAUCAAAAAUGAAAAUUCAAGGACUGGGAUAUUCAAGUACUCCAUACUAUACACUGGGUAGCCAAAGAUGAUAAAAUGGAAAUUCUGAAAAUAAGAUGCAGGAAGUACAUUGUGCUCUUUCAAAACUGAUAAAGAUGAAAAUUACAAACAGCUGCCUGUGUAUUUAUAGAGGUCUGGAAUUCAUUCGCUGUAUUGCCACAGACAUUUAAUAAAAUUUAAAAGUUUGACAAUUAAAA